UCAUCCUUAUUUUGGAGCACAGCUUGUACCUUGUGAAGAUUAAUAUAGACUCUCAAGAGGUCAUCAACUAGUUAGCAAAAGGUAACUUGUUCUAUAAUUUUAUUAUUGAUGAAUGCAGGUCUUUGAUAAGAAGGUUGGACAGACCUCCCAUUCACCAUAGCUACAGGGAGCAAAACAAAGUUGUUGAUGCCAUGACUAAAGCAG
rnacentral:lncRNA from 1 species